GGCCCCGUGGUGUAACGGUUAGCACGCCAGGUUUUCAACCUGGAAGCGCGGGUUCGACUCCCGCCGGGGCUA
rnacentral:tRNA from 2 species